GGGCCCGCACAAGCGGUGGAGCAUGUGGUUUAAUUCGAUGCAACGCGAAGAACCUUACCAUCCCUUGACAUCCUUGAAAGAAAGUGGAGACAUUUUUGUGCCUUCGGGAAUCAAGUGACAGGUGCUGCAUGGCUGUCGUCAGCUCGUGUCGUGAGAUGUUGGGUUAAGUCCCGCAACGAGCGCAACCCUUGUCCUUAGUUGCCAGCAUUAAGUUGGGCACUCUAAGGAGACUGCCGGUGACAAAACCGGAGGAAGGUGGGGGACGACGUCAAGUCAUCAUGGCCCUUACGGGAUGGGCUACACACGUGCUACAAUGGUGGAUACAGAGGGAAGCAAGACGGCGACGUG
rnacentral:rRNA from 1 species